rnacentral:rRNA from 1 species
CAAUAGCGUAUAUUUAAGUUCCUGCAGUUAAAAAGCUCGUAGUUGGAUUUCGGGUGGGAAUGGCCGGUCCGCCGUUUCGGUGUGCACUUGCUACGCCCACCUUGCUGCCGGGGACGUGCUCUUGAGUUCACGCUCGGGACACGGAGUCGGCGAGGUUACUUUGAGUAAAUUAGAGUGUUCAAAGCAGGCCUACGCUCUGAAUACAUUAGCAUGGAAUAACACGAUAGGACUCUGGCCUAUCUUGUUGGUCUGUAGGACCGGAGUAAUGAUUAAGAGGGACAGUCGGGGGCAUUCGUAUUUCAUUGUCAGAGGUGAAAUUCUUGGAUUUAUGAAAGACGAACUACUGCGAAAGCAUUUGCCAAGGAUGUUUUCAUUAA